rnacentral:rRNA from 1 species
UACGUAGGGUGCGAGCGUUGUCCGGAAUUAUUGGGCGUAAAGAGCUUGUAGGUGGUUUGUCGCGUCUGCUGUGAAAAUCCGAGGCUCAACCUCGGACUUGCAGUGGGUACGGGCAGACUAGAGUGUGGUAGGGGAGACUGGAAUUCCUGGUGUAGGCGGUGAAAUGCGCAGGAUAAUCGAGGAGGAACACCGGUGGCGAAGGCGGAU